rnacentral:lncRNA from 1 species
AUUUGAAUCGGAUCGAAUCGAUUAAAAUUGAAUGAACAGUUUUAGCUUUCGAACUAUAGAUCGUAAGUUCAAAUGAAUAAUAUUUUAUAUAUCGAAUCAUGAAUUUUUUGACACAAUAGGAUCACUUUCUCCAUUUGCGGUGAAUAUUUGGCUAGGCUGGCAUAAUUCCAACCAUGCAAUGUACUCUCUGUUUAAAAAGGAGGAAGAAAGCAAGGACUCUGAAAGGUUUUUUUAUUGUUUGUGAAAGGGUAAGAAGACAAAAUUUAGAGCAAUUAGUAUUCUAGUUGUAUGCAGUCAAAUGCUUUCAGUCCAUCCUGCGUGCUAAGAGGGGAA